CCUCAUUUUCAUCUAGCUUCUGAUAUAGAGCCACCUUACAUACCUCUUUUAAUUUUUAUUCAACACCCCAUAUUUUAUAUACAUACACAUAUCUUUCUCUCUUUUCUUUUCUUUUUCUCUUUUUUGCUUUUUUCUGUUGGAGCUUGAAUAAUUUAAACAAAUAUUUUUGAGGCAUGUGGUCCUAAACUCAACUUACAACCUUAUCGAUC
rnacentral:lncRNA from 1 species